rnacentral:rRNA from 1 species
CACACUGCCGAGAAAAGCCUCUAGAUAGAAAAUAGGUGCCCGUACCGCAAACCGACACAGGUAGUCAAGAUGAGAAUUCUAAGGUGAGCGAGCGAACUCUCGUUAAGGAACUCGGCAAAAUGACCCCGUAACUUCGGGAGAAGGGGUGCUCUUUAGGGUUAACGCCCAGAAGAGCCGCAGUGAAUAGGCCCAAGCGACUGUUUAUCAAAAACACAGGUCUCUGCUAAACCGUAAGGUGAUGUAUAGGGGCUGACGCCUGCCCGGUGCUGGAAGGUUAAGAGGAGUGGUUAGCUUCUGCGAAGCUACGAAUCGAAGCCCCAGUAAACGGCGGCCGUAACUAUAACGGUCCUAAGGUAGCGAAAUUCCUUGUCGGGUAAGUUCCGACCCGCACGAAAGGCGUAACGAUUUGGGCACUGUCUCAACGAGAGACUCGGUGAAAUCAUAGUACCUGUGAAGAUGCAGGUUACCCGCGACAGGACGGAAAGACCCCGUGGAGCUUUACUGUAGCCUGAUAUUGAAAUUCGGCACAGCUUGUACAGGAUAGGUAGGAGCCUUUGAAACGUGAGCGCUAGCUUACGUGGAGGCGCUGGUGGGAUACUACCCUAGCUGUGUUGGCUUUCUAACCCGCACCACUUAUCGUGGUGGGAGACAGUGUCAGGCGGGCAGUUUGACUGGGGCGGUCGCCUCCUAAAAGGUAACGGAGGCGCUCAAAGGUUCCCUCAGAAUGGUUGGAAAUCAUUCAUAGAGUGUAAAGGCAUAAGGGAGCUUGACUGCGAGACCUACAAGUCGAGCAGGGUCGAAAGACGGACUUA